ACCUAAACCGGAUUGAAACGGUAUCCUUUUUUGUUUUGGAGAUUUUGAUAAAGCCGCCACUUCGGCAAAAAAGAUGUAGUGUAAAGCCUUACGAACA
rnacentral:sRNA from 2 species